GUUGACUGCCAAGGAAACAAUACCUCUCAUAGGAGUAUGCAUGGGAAAGGUUGCUGCUCUCACAGUAGAAGGGAGGAGGAUUUGAUGACAGGUAGUACUUACAAGCCAUUCUUUGUCAUCAGCAUGUAGGGAAAGUCCCGGGGUAACAAACCAAGGCAUAUAGACUUCAAAUGGAGCUUCAUUUCCUUACCAUAUGAUGCUCAAUUUCAGACAAAUGAAAGAGGACCACCCUGUCUUCCUGCCUCCCGGAUCAGGCUCUGCUCUCUUGUCCACUACCACAGGCUCAGUGUUACCCACAGCAGUUCUUCCCUCUUUGUGAAGAUGUGCUCUGCUAAAGGUGUUCAGUAGACAUUUACAUCAAGAACAGGAAUCUGGUGACCACAUAAGCAAGUGAUGAGAUAGAAUGUUCAAUGGUCAACUGUGCCAGCUUUCAUGAGAGAUCGGCAGCAGCUCAGAAGUUGAGAUAUUUGGAGCCGUGUGCCCUCGGUGAAGGAUUGCUUCAGCUCAAACCAAGGGCAGGGGCUGGGAACAGAAAGUACUUCAUCCCCGAAAGCAGUUGAUCAAAAAUGAAUGUACUGUCAAAAAAAGCUGACAAGAAUAAGGCAUGAUUGUGAAGUGAAGGAUAUUCUUCUCUGGGCAAACAGGCUGAUACUGCCAAGGAUACAUUUGACAGCAGCAGUGUGGGAGCUCACACCCAGCAAGCAAGGAAAAUUACACAGGGUAAUGGGUGUGGCUUUUCUGCAUAGAGUUCAGUUGGCCAGUUGUAAAUGAAAUAGCUGCAACAGCCCAGUAUUCCUAUGAGUAAUCAAAUAUUGCUCAUCAAGGGCAGGUACACUGUGGCUCACAGUAUUAAACCCUAACUGUAG
ensembl:lncRNA